GGUCGUACGUAUGCUUUUUCCAUAGCCUACUUUAUUAUAGGAAGCCCAACGGUUUGGGCUUUUUUUGGAAGCCAAUUUGGGUUCCCUUCCUCUUAUUUGGCUCCGCCCUAAGUGGACCCACGGGAGCCAAUUUAUCGUCUAGUGGCGAUAUUUGAAAACACGAAUUUGUUUACGUUUCUAU